CCGACGGCUCCUUCUCAAACUCUCUUUCCGUCGACGCCUCUCUUCUCCGCCGAUCAUUUCUCUGGCCCUAAUUCUGACGAUUUCAUGGCGAAUCCGAUUCAGGCUCCUCUGAUCCAUCUCCUCUUGGCUUUGCUCCUCGUCUCGUCAACGAUCGCAACCUCCGAUGUUCCAUUCAUUGUCGCGCACAAGAAGGCGUCGCUCACUCGCCUCAAAACCGGUGUCGAACGUGUCUCGGUCUCAAUCGACAUUUACAAUCAGGGAUCUUCGACCGCAUAUGAUGUAAGUCUGAACGACGCAAGCUGGCCAGGAGAUAUGUUUGAUAUCGUGAGUGGUGAGACUGCCAAAUCGUGGGAAAGACUUGAUGCUGGUGCUCAUAUAUCUCAUUCAUUUGAAUUAGAAGCAAAAACAAAAGGAAUGUUUCAUGGUUCACCUGCUGUUAUCACAUUCCGUGUCCCUACGAAGUCUGCUUUGCAGGAGGCCUUAUCGACCCCAAUUCUACCUUUGGAUGUCCUCGCUGACAGGCCACCGGAGAAGAAGUUUGAGUGGGUUAAGAGGCUGCUUGCAAAGUAUGGGUCUCUGAUCUCGGUGAUCUCCAUCGUCGUUCUCUUCAUAUAUCUUGUGGCUAGCCCAUCGAAAUCUGCUGCAAAGGGAAGCAAGAAGAAGCGUUAAUUGAAGAAUGGGAAGAAGAAAUAGGUUUAACUGUGUUUACCAAAAUUGAGGAUGAUAUGUUGUUUGGCUGAUGAUAUAUUUUGUUGGGUUAGGAAAGGUACAGAAACUUUUUUGAGUUGAUAGUUUUUCUUCACCCCUAAUGAAAGUAGAGCCGCCGGAAACAAACAGAGUUAAGUCACCAGUAGUUGAG
rnacentral:misc_RNA from 1 species